rnacentral:tRNA from 1 species
GCCCCUGUAGUGUAGAUGAAUAUACUUCAGCACAAUCCGGCCAAUCAUUUCGGAUUUUCGAUCCGAGGACCUGGGUUCGAAUCCCGGCGGGGGCA